UACGUAGGGUGCAAGCGUUGUCCGGAAUUAUUGGGCGUAAAGAGCUCGUAGGCGGUUUGUUGCGUCGGCUGUGAAAUCCCGAGGCUCAACCUCGGGUCUGCAGUCGAUACGAGCAAACUAGAGUGUUGCAGGGGAGAACGGAAUUCCUGGUGUAGCGGUGAAAUGCGCAGAUAUCAGGAGGAACACCGGUGGCGAAGGCGGCAUUCUGGACCAACACUGACGCUGAGGAGCGAAAGCCAGGGGAGCAAACGGG
rnacentral:rRNA from 1 species